rnacentral:rRNA from 1 species
GACGAACGCUGGCGGCGUGCUUAACACAUGCAAGUCGAACGGAAAGGCCCUGCUUUUGUGGGGUGCUCGAGUGGCGAACGGGUGAGUAACACGUGAGUAACCUGCCCUUGACUUUGGGAUAACUUCAGGAAACUGGGGCUAAUACCGGAUAGGAGCUCCUGCUGCAUGGUGGGGGUUGGAAAGUUUCGGCGGUUGGGGAUGGACUCGCGGCUUAUCAGCUUGUUGGUGGGGUAGUGGCUUACCAAGGCUUUGACGGGUAGCCGGCCUGAGAGGGUGACCGCCCACAUUGGGACUGAGAUACGGCCCAGACUCCUACGGGAGGCAGCAGUGGGGAAUAUUGCACAGUGGGCGGAAGCCUGAUGCAGCAACGCCGCGUGCGGGAUGACGGCCUUCGGGUUGUAAACCGCUUUCGCCUGAGACGAAGCGUGAGUGACGGUAAUGGGUAAAGAAGCACCGGCUAACUACGUG